rnacentral:lncRNA from 1 species
GUCAAAUUUUGUGGAUUCGGAAUCACUGACAUUUGUAAACCACCCUCUGGGUUCUGCAAAGAGGCACCACUGAUCUAUCUUGUCAGUCCCUAAAGAAUAAAAUUUUUUAUGAAAGGAAAUAUAAAGAAAACAUGAUAAAUUCGGGGAAAAAAUAAAAUCAGCAAAAGCUAUGAUAAAUAAAAAGCACAGGUAUCAUAAUAAACGUAAAUAGUUUUUUAAAUGCCAUAAAAAUAACCUUAUAAUUUUCAAAGACAGUUAAGUGAGGUGUGUGAUAAGAUUUAAAAAAAAAAAAAUGAGGCUGUAGAAAUGUUAUCCUAAGAAUGUCAUUGAAAAAUCAAGUACUUAAAAGUCAUGUUAAUUCAGAUGAACUCGAACAGUUAUUGUUGCGUAGACUACAAAGAUUUCACUCCACUACACUAAGAUCGCUCAGGAACCACAAACUUUUAAAAUACUCAGCUCUAUAAUUCUGAAAGCCAAAGGUGAGGAACCUAGAAAAAGAACUAACAGAUUCAUAAUCAGGAGAGGAAUUUCCCCUGACUUUCAGAGACAACCAAUUGCAAACUAAAACACUAAAACAUUUGAAUAGUAAGUUAAUAAUCUUGGUCUAAUUGAUAAUUAUGUAUUUUUUAUUUUUACUUAUUUAUUUUACUUGAGCAGUCUUUAAUGGGAGUUGUGUAUGGCUCUCCUCUACUCCUGCAUCUUCUCAGUCAUUUCUUUCUUGUAUUUAUUUACCCUUCUCCUUUCCCACUUGUCAAAACUUGACUUCUCUUUCUAGUAUUCUUCUGUGGUCUUUGUCGAGCCUUAGCCUCCUGAUGCCCACCUAGCUGGGGUGAAUGCCCACAGGGCAUGCUGUCCCACUCAUUCUCCUUUGCUUGCUGCAACCGUUCAGUAUAGAUGACAGUUCUGUAUACCUGGACCACUUUGCCUGUCUCCUUGUCUUUGUAGUGCCCUUGGGUAACUCAAACUUCACUAACCUUUCAAACAGGCAUAGAUUGAACAUUCUAACUUCUGUCUCAGCUUUUUGGGAAGAGAGGAAGACAUGGCCUUUCUUCACAUGUGACAAUGUUCGUUGAGAUGCCCUCUGUGGUUCUUGCUUUAGUCAGAAGUCACAAAGGGACUGAACUUUGUUUUGAUGGCUGCCUAUCCUGUGAUGGCUGCAAGAGAGAGAGAGAGAGGGUCUACGUGUGACUUCCUGUUCUGAUAAUCAUGUAUUUUAUACUCCAAUCAAAAAUAUAUGUUCCUUUGAAAUAUACAUAAAUUUAUGUCAGUUAUCAUAUUUGUGCUUUCUAAUUGAGACCAAUUAAAGGAAAUUAGACAAGGGAAAAGGCACCAAACAAGAUUUCAAGACAGUAACCUUGUACCAUAAACAAAAUUUAAAUUUAAAUGGCUUCACUCUUUGGUUUAAAACUCAAAACAAACAACAACAACAAAAACCAAAGCCCUUAAAACUUUCAGGUGAAACAAAAUAUGAGAAAAUCUUUGUGACGGUUAGUUGACAUAAGAUCUUUUAGAGUCUUCCUUAUAUUUAAAGAGUUCUGUACUUUGAAAGAUCAAGAAAGACAAGCCAUAACUUU